UACCAAUUUACCAGAUACUCUUGGAUAGCACUGGAUUAUGCAGUAGAUAGACCUAUAUAGCACAAGUCCACAAAUAUCUUCAAUAAUGGCAGAUGAGGCCAGACCUACAGCUCUGACAGGUUACAAAAAUCCAGUGAAAUUCUGCAAGCAAUUCAACUGAAAUCGGCUUUCACACAACUUGUUGCCCCACUUAGCUCAGAUGUCUUCAAUGCUGCCAGCCCUAGGCUAUUCUCUGCAGCAGAUCACUAUAAAAGAGGAUAUUGUAAGGAAAGUUUAGCCUGAACUCCAACUCUGAAGUGAGGCUAUGAGAAGGGUGUGUUGAAAGAGGGACCUGACAAGAACCAGGCUCUUAUGAAAUCACACAGGUGCUAAAAGUGGCUGACAACAGAGAAGAAUUGUAAAGAGAGAGAAAUGUAAUGUGCCUUCUUAUUUGUAUUUAAUAGUAAAACGAUGCCUAUGAA